rnacentral:rRNA from 1 species
UCGGGAAUUUUGGGCAAUGGGCGAAAGCCUGAUCCAGCCAUGCCGCGUGCAGGAUGAAGGCCUUCGGGUUGUAAACUGCUUUUGUACGGAACGAAAAGACUCCUUCUAAUAAAGGGGGUCCAUGACGGUACCGUAAGAAUAAGCACCGGCUAACUACGUGCCAGCAGCCGCGGUAAUACGUAGGGUGCAAGCGUUAAUCGGAAUUACUGGGCGUAAAGCGUGCGCAGGCGGUUAUAUAAGACAGAUGUGAAAUCCCCGGGCUCAACCUGGGAACUGCAUUUGUGACUGUAUAGCUAGAGUACGGUAGAGGGGGAUGGAAUUCCGCGUGUAGCAGUGAAAUGCGUAGAUAUGCGGAGGAACACCGAUGGCGAAGGCAAUCCCCUGGACCUGUACUGACGCUCAUGCACGAAAGCGUGGGGAGCAAACAGGAUUAGAUACCCCGGUAGUCCCUGAGCGGGCUGGCAAGGCGCAU